rnacentral:misc_RNA from 1 species
UUUUUUUUUUUUUUUUUUUAUCUUCACUGACGACUUUUUAUUUAAUUUCCACACCCAUAUCACCACCAGCACAACCACCACCCCCACCACCCGCUGCCAAUAUGUAUUAGUUGGAAUCGUUUUUUGUUAGUUUGUUGGUUAGCUGGUUGAUCCUGCUCCAUUAUAUUGUUUACCGAAACAAAUGAUAUUAAUUAUUAUUAAAUGCAUGAUUACAUGAGACAUCAUGUUUUAAUAUUAUUUUAGACCCAUUAAUUGUAUCCCACCUUCCAUACCGUACAGAUAGAUUGAUCUGGUGGUGGGGCAUCCACCAAUCAGCACAGUUUCAGCCUAAACUUAGUGAUUGUGAGAUACAAAUAUGAUAAUGAUGCAUCGGGUUAGCAAACAGUGGAGGGCAUGUGCUAAACAAAAAUGGAUGCUGAGGAGUGAUGCUCUUAUUCAAUCAUGACCAUUCAAUUAAAUGAAAGUCUCUCUAUCAAAUGAUAGUAGAUAGGACAUGUCUAGUAGGUAAGCCAUCAAGGAGAGGGAGGCACUUCACCAUUCACAUUAUCUAAGGGCCAAGAUUUUGAAUGAUGCCAAUCCUAGCCCUUGUGUAAGGUCAUUAUCAUUUUUUUCCAUUUAACCUUUUUCUCUGGGGACAACCUACCAUUGCUCAAAAAGAUAAAUCAAACCCUUACUGUGAGAACAGAUGGAUAAUAAUAAUAAUAAUCAACAUUAUAAAAAGCAGAGGCCACCAUUCUUUGGAAGGACUAUUCCCACCAUAACCCAUUAAAAAAAAUGUUGGAUAAGCUGAACCUGGUAGUACCAACUGUUCUUUUUAUUGUUUUCGUUGAAUAUACAACAACCCCUUCUCUUCUCUUACCCUAUCACCAUUGAUAUCUACUACUUUAUAGGUAACCACACAUGUGAUACUAAUGAUUCAUCAAAGAAAAGAGGAGAGAAGAAUACACAUACUUGCUACUCCCACAGGCGCAAAUGGAUAGAUAGACAUUGGACAAGAAAGAAAGCCUAAGCUUUGCUUCCCAUUACUUAUUCAAUUGCACAGUCAGAUCCCACUUUGAUGAUAAGUUUGCUUUUUUCAUCCUGCCAGAGAGAAUACCAACAAACAAAGGAGAUGGAUUUCUCUCAUAA